UUCCCAGUCAGAAAACCCAGAAACCAGGCGCCCCACAGUAUGGACAACAUGCUCCUCUGUCGAAGGGAUCCCUGCUCUCUGACCUGGGUGGAAAAGCUGACCCAUACACAGAGUGACAGAGGCUGAUGAGUUCUGGAGAUCAAGCAGCUUUGCUUGCUGAUACUAUACUCUGACUCGAUAUGUCAACAAGCAGCACUUUCAGGGCCCUCAGGAAUGGAUUUCUAGCACAACCCUUCUGCCCGCCUCUGUUAAUCACUGAGCUCUCUUUUCAAGAGUUGGAAUUUUCAAUCUGCUGCAAGUCCUUUAGAGUUUUGGUACUAUAGGACCUUAACCCUUCUACAUGUUUAUUCAACCUCCCCUUGGCUCAGCUACCUGCCCAAAUACAUCAGAAGGCAGGCAUCUCACCUGCACCCUCGAAUAAUGCCAACAUUAUUCCCGGAAGUGGUUGGCGAGUCUUAUCAAGGAGAAUUGUAAUCCUGGGAGUCCAGUUCCUGCAUUGACAGUUUAAUGAAAACAACACUACUAGGAAAUAGUUCUACUCACCCAUUGUUGCAAGUCUGCAACUCCUAUAUUUGGCCAAGAGUAAUCUCUACACCCAAUGUGGGGCUCAAACUCACCAACCCCAGAUCAGGAGUCACAUGUUCUUCCAGCUGAGCCAGCCAGGCGCCCCAGGCUCUUCUAUCCAGCUCAUCUUUUAACUCAGGCUGAUGGAAACCAAAAGCACCCCUCAAGUGAUAGUGACCACCCUGACAAGACCUCCUGCCAACCCAGGCCAUCCAGACCAAUAUGACCAUAACCCUGGACUCGCACCGCACAGAUGGACCAUGGAGUGACCUGCAGAAUGACUGACAACUUCCUUUACCUCAUUAUAAUACUAAAACUUCUGCUCAAGGAUGAGCACAAGCCUCAUUUACAUAACAUACAAUGUGUGAUAUAGGCAUGCUUCCUUAAGUUGCAUGCACUGCCUUAUGUUCCCCUUUAUAUUCCAUGACAAGUCUUCCCUAUCUAAAUAUUCAUCCCAACCCUAAAUAAAAGGGACCCAUUUACCCUUGGCUCGA